CGGUCUUUUUGUUUUUGCAGACUUGAGAAGGAAAGGAGGCCCUUUUUCGUUCAUGGCAAUGGCUGCUUGCGUUUAUGGAACUUGGAAUGUAGCUUGGCUGGCUGGCCGGCCUUGCUCUGGCCAAACGCUGCGGCGGUUAGAUUCGUUCCGCAAUGAAGUAGCUAUUUAACGUUACCAAGUGAACAGAUCGGAAGAAUUAAGUUUUCGUCGUCAGGUUGUGCCACCAUUCAGGUCUCCAGACAUGAGAGGGCUGCAAAUGGGAAUAACACGAUCCCCCUUCAAGCAUGGGGACUGAAUGAAUCGCAUCAACUCUUCAGGAAAGCAUGCGCCGUCAACUCCAUUGAAGGUGAUUCAACUCUCUUCGAUGCGUUUUGAAGACUAAGCAUGGAACUGCUGGGACUGGAUUGAUGGUUAAAUGGAAAGGGUAUUAAAGGAAAAUCCCAAUUUGGUUGGACUGCUUGCAUUUCAGCAGGAAAUUAUCCAGGAAUACAUGUGUAUUUGACAUUCAAUCGAGUUGAAGCAUAGGCAGACAACAUGGCACUGCUUGGACUGGAUUGAUGUUUCGUUGGGUCGAUACAAGACAUGCAGAUUGUAUGGAAUGCGAUGACUCCAUUGAAGGAUUGUUUCUUUCUGGACGUAAGUGGGGAACAAUGUUACAUCCUGCAGAUUGACGAAACUCCAGGCCAGACUGUUUGGCUCAGCCGCCACCAGCUGUGUUCACAUGGCCCUUUGAUACAUCUAACCCUGGAGUGUCACUGCAUAAUCCUCUUGCAAUGUCAGUGGUUUCUGAACAAGUGUACCACAUAAUGAAUUGAAUGUAUGGUCCCAACUGUAUAGACAGUGGAACAGUGUCAAGCGGUGAACAAUAAAAUUGACUUUUGUAAAUGUA